CUUUGGCAGUAAACACAGCUUAGUUGUCUCAGAGGAUUCACAAUGGGAAAUGUUUGUAGUUGCUGCCUCAGAGUUCAUUUCCCAGCAUAUUCUGUUGAAGAUCAAAGAGUGGAUCCUGGGGUGCCAGGGGAAUCCACCGUCUGCCACCACAAGUAUCACGAUGAGCACGUGGCACAGGAAACUUCUUCUGAGGAUGUCCCAGGCGUUCACAUGGUGGACAAAGCCACAGAGACAAACAGUACAUAUUCUGGGAUCACCCCUAUGCUGAGGAAAAUUUCUAGUGUUGACAAAGUUCUGAUGAAGGAUCUACUACAGGAGCUGUCCAGUUACAACGGAGAGGAGGAGGACCCAGAGGAUGUGAAGAGAAAUCCUCAGGAGUUAUACAAAAGGACACUCUGAUGCUUGCUUCACAGAAUUGGAAGACUCCACCAUUACAGGUGGCCACCAGCAGAUGUCAGCAAGUCCUUCCUCUGCACCUGCAGAAGAAGCAACAGAAAAGACAAAAGUGGAAGCGGAAGUGUGAGGGGAAGUGGAAGCAGGCAGAAUGAUGAGGGAAGCACAGACGUGCCCAUGUUCUUCAUGGCUACACUCACAUUCUUGUU